AUACGUAGGGGGCGAGCGUUGUCCGGAAUGAUUGGGCGUAAAGGGCGCGUAGGCGGCGCGGUAAGUCUGGAGUGAAAGUCCUGCUUUCAAGGUGGGAAUUGCUUUGGAUACUGCCGCGCUUGAGUGCAGGAGAGGUUAUCGGAAUUCCCGGUGUAGCGGUGAAAUGCGUAGAGAUCGGGAGGAGCACCAGUGGCGAAGGCGGGUAACUGGACUGCAACUGACGCUGAGGCGCGAAAGUGUGGGGAGCAAACAGGAUUAGAUACCCUGGUAGUCCACACUGUAAACGAUGAAUGCUAGGUGUAAGAGGUAUCGACCCCUUUUGUGCCGGAGUCAACACAAUAAGCAUUCCGCCUGGGGAGUACGGCCGCAAGGUUGAAACUCAAAUGAAUUGACGGGG
rnacentral:rRNA from 1 species